AUUGAACGCUGGCGGCAGGCCUAACACAUGCAAGUCGAGCGGCAGCACGGGUACUUGUACCUGGUGGCGAGCGGCGGACGGGUGAGUAAUGCCUAGGAAUCUGCCUGGUAGUGGGGGAUAACGCUCGGAAACGGACGCUAAUACCGCAUACGUCCUACGGGUGAAAGUGGGGGACCGCAAGGCCUCACGCGAUUAGAUGA
rnacentral:rRNA from 1 species